rnacentral:rRNA from 1 species
GACGAACGCUGGCGGCGUGCUUAACACAUGCAAGUCGAACGGAAAGGCCCUGCUUUUGUGGGGUGCUCGAGUGGCGAACGGGUGAGUAACACGUGAGUAACCUGCCCUUGACUUUGGGAUAACUUCAGGAAACUGGGGCUAAUACCGGAUAGGAGCUCCUGCUGCAUGGUGGGGGUUGGAAAGUUUAGGCGGUUGGGGAUGGACUCGCGGCUUAUCAGCUUGUUGGUGGGGUAGUGGCUUACCAAGGCUUUGACGGGUAGCCGGCAUGGGAGGGUGAACGGCCACAUUGGGACUGAGAUAGGGCCCAGACUCCUACGGGAGGCAGCAGUGGGGAAUAUUGCACAAUGGGCGGAAGUGUGAUGAAGAAACGCCGCGUGCGGGAUGACGGCCUUCGGGUUGUAAACAGCUUUCGCCUGUGACGAAGCGUGAGUGACGGUAAUGGGUAAAGAAGCACCGGCUAACUACGUG